GACGAACGCUGGCGGCGUGCUUAACACAUGCAAGUCGAACGGAAAGGCCCUGCUUUUGUGGGGUGCUCGAGUGGCGAACGGGUGAGUAACACGUGAGUAACCUGCCCUUGACUUUGGGAUAACUUCAGGAAACUGGGGCUAAUACCGGAUAGGAGCUCCUGCUGCAUGGUGGGGGUUGGGAAGUUUCAGCGGUUGGGGAUGGACUCGCGGCUUAUCAGCUUGUUGGUGGGGUAGUGGCUUACCAAGGCUUUGACGGGUAGCCGGCCUGAGAGGGGGACCGGCCACAUUGGGACUGAGAUACGGCCCAGACUCCUACGGGAGGCAGCAGUGGGGAAUAUUGCACAAUGGGCGGAAGCCUGAUGCAGCAACGCCGCGUGCGGGAUGACGGCCUUCGGGUUGUAAACCGCUUUCGCCUGUGACGAAGCGUGAGUGACGGUAAUGGGUAAAGAAGCACCGGCUAACUACGUG
rnacentral:rRNA from 1 species